UUGUUAAGAAGAGAAGGCUUUUGUUCUGAAGACUAAAAGUCUGUAAGACUAAAACAGUUAAAUGUUACCCAAAAAGUAAAAGGCAAGAGAUGUGAUACAUCUCAUGUUAAAAUUGGCCUGGUCUUUUUUAUUUAACUAAUUAUAGCUCACAGGAAGAAGAAUUGGUCUCUGCAGCUAUUAACACAGCUGGAUACAAGAAGAAGAAGUGGCUGUAGAAAAAGAGUUUAGUUAAACUCAGAAAGUUUUAAAGAAAACUAAUGGUAAAAGUUAAUGCAGUAUUGUUUUUCUUUUAACACUGUGCUAUUAAGAAAUCCUUUCCAGGUACCAUUAAAGCAGCAAUCCAAACCACGGAAAGAGGGUGAAUUCAUGCCAGCAAAACCAAAGGACUUGUGAAGAAACUUGAGGAAUGGACUAUCACAUCUAAACCGGGUGAUACCAAAUUGACUUCCAACCAGGACUGGGUGGUAAUGGUUUGGGAAGACCCAAAUGAUCCAAGGCAGGUACAAAGAAUAACACCUCACUGAGAAAUAAGGCAAAGCUUGCAUCACUGGUUCUAAGCCCUGCCUGAAUAAACCCUGAGACGCCUCCGACACCUCCUUGGCAGAGGAACACUGCCACUUCAAACAGGAGGAUCGGGAGUGUUUCAGUCAAAGAGUUCUUAUAGCCUGGCCUCAGCCUGUGGCUUGUACAGGGAAGAAGGGAAAUUGCCAUCAGUACUAUACUGUAUACUUUAUGUGAUUCAUCCUCAUAUUGGACAUGCCAGCUGGGCUAUAAAGUGAAUGUUUAAAUUAUGAGAAUAAUUGGCAUUGUAGUUCACAAAAUCUAUGUUCUCGUUGCAAGAAGUAUUGAGUACUGAAUCAAUCCCCUAUACAGAAAGAACUCAAAAACUGAAGUAAUAACUUUGUUUUGUGGAUGGGAGUUAUUAGUGCCUGUUGAGUGAGAGAUACCUGAGGAACGGUGGGAAACCACAGUUAAGGAGUGUCGAAAAGGACUUGCCUAAAAAAAUGAGUAAAAAGGAGUGACAAGGGAAACAGAGGGCAAGCCUGGACUGAGCACUGUACUCACCACCGAGAAGAUCACACGUACCUGCUGUGGGAAGCAACCCCACAGGCAGGGGAGGUGGGGGUAUAAGCCAUGCCAGACCUCUGUCAUUCCUGUUUCUGUCUCUCAUUUGUUGUCUUUUCCCUUCUGAGAUACCAGCAAGAUCGUGUCCCAAAUGCUACAGAAAGUAUUACACGGAAAGGAACCAAAGUUCCUUUUUGUUACACACACCCAUGUCAACAGCCACAGACCCACCCAAACUGAGUACCUGCAGGCAAAAUGGGGAAAAAUAUUGGAUUACAAGGAACUUGGGAAAAAGUAGUAAUACUUGGGGCAUGGAAUGUCCAAAAGGAGAGAGAUGGAUUUGUUUUACAUUUGAUCUUAGAGAUAUAGUCCAAGAUUCGGUAA
rnacentral:lncRNA from 1 species